AAUGAACUUGCUGCGAGAAAAUAGGUAAACUUGCUCUCUUGAACUUGUGUAAUUAGCUAAUUAUUGAGCAAUUAUGAGGAUUGGCAUACCUCUUUGGUAAUUGAUUUGUACUUGGCUAGCUUUAGGCUUAUCUAUUAUUAGUCUCUUAUAUAACAAAUUUUUCAUUUGUUUAAUGGAAAAUAUUUUCUUGGAAAAUUUUUUCUGCAUUAUUUCUAUUGUUUGGGACACUUAGGAAAAUUGGUCAACGGAAAUUGCUUUCUUGGUCAAAAGGAAAACCAUGUUAUUUCAA
rnacentral:misc_RNA from 1 species